UAUGUUCUUGACAACUCUAGUCACAUUUAUGAUUUUAGUAACUGGAAUGGGCAUCUGUUCGAGUAUGAUGGAGGGAGUACUGACUGUGCGAUUCGGUUCUGUAAAGAUGUGGAAACGAGAUCACAAUCGGGAUAUGUUGGUUUUGGCAAAUUUGAGGGCUUCAACUAUUUUGUUGCCGGUUCAGAACAUUAUAAUUUUGU